rnacentral:rRNA from 1 species
AGAGUUUGAUCCUGGCUCAGGACGAACGCCGGCGGCGUGCUUAACACAUGCAAGUCGAACGGAAAGGCCCUGCUUUUGUGGGGUGCUCGAGUGGCGAACGGGUGAGUAACACGUGAGUAACCUGCCCUUGACUUUGGGAUAACUUCAGGAAACUGGGGCUAAUACCGGAUAGGAGCUCCUGCUGCAUGGUGGGGGUUGGAAAGUUUCGGCGGUUGGGGAUGGACUCGCGGCUUAUCAGCUUGUUGGUGGGGUAGUGGCUUACCAAGGCUUUGACGGGUAGCCGGCCUGAGAGGGUGACCGGCCACAUUGGGACUGAGAUACGGCCCAGACUCCUACGGGAGGCAGCAGUGGGGAAUAUUGCACAAUGGGCGGAAGCCUGAUGCAGCAACGCCGCGUGCGGGAUGACGGCCUUCGGGUUGUAAACCGCUUUCGCCUGUGACGAAGCGUGAGUGACGGUAAUGGGUAAAGAAGCACCGGCUAACUACGUGCCAGCAGCCGCGGUAAUACGUAGGGUGCAAGCGUUAAUCGGAAUUACUGGGCGUAAAGCGUGCGCAGGCGGUCCGCUAAGACAGAUGUGAAAUCCCCGGGCUUAACCUGGGAACUGCAUUUGUGACUGGCGGGCUAGAGUAUGGCAGAGGGGGGUAGAAUUCCACGUGUAGCAGUGAAAUGCGUAGAGAUGUGGAGGAAUACCGAUGGCGAANGCAGCCCCCUGGGCCAAUACUGACGCUCAUGCACGAAAGCGUGGGGAGCAAACAGGAUUAGAUACCCUGGUAGUC